GCGGCAGUAGCUCAGUGGUAGAGCCGCGCUUCGCAUUCGGGGAGACCUGGGUUCGAUUCCCGGCUGCUUCC
rnacentral:tRNA from 1 species